AUGUUUACUUGGCAGGGAAGAUAUCACGAUCACGAAGGUGGUUUUCCCAUGAGCGGGGUUUCUCUAUUGCACUCCGGAUGUACUGAUUCCUGCGAUUUUUCCUAAAUGUGGGAAAGUUGACCGCAUGGUUUGUGGUAGUAGGAAACGGCCUUACGCACUUUCCCG